AACGCACAUUGCGCCCCUUGGCAUUCCGAGGGGCAUGCCUGUUCGAGCGUCAUUACAACCCUCAAGCUCUGCUUGGUAUUGGGCGCCGUCCUCUCUGCGGACGCGCCUUAAAGACCUCGGCGGUGGCUGUUCAGCCCUCAAGCGUAGUAGAAUACACCUCGCUUUGGAGCGGUUGGCGUCGCCCGCCGGACGAACCUUCUGAACUUUUCUCAAGGUUGACCUCGGAUCAGGUAGGGAUACCCGCUGAACUUAA
rnacentral:misc_RNA from 4 species